UUAAGUGACUAAGCGUACACGGUGGAUGCCUAGGCAGUCAGAGGCGAUGAAGGGCGUGUUAAUCUGCGAUAAGCGUCGGUAAGGUGAUAUAAACCGUUAUAACCGGCGAUACCCGAAUGGGGAAACCCAGUGCAAUUCGUUGCACUAUCAUACGAUGAAUACAUAGUCGUAUGAGGCGAACCGGGGGAACUGAAACAUCUAAGUACCCCGAGGAAAAGAAAUCAACCGAGAUUCCCCCAGUAGCGGCGAGCGAACGGGGAGGAGCCCAGAACCUGAAUCAGUUCUUGUGUUAGUGGAAGCGUCUGGAAAGUCGCACAGUAAAGGGUGAUAGUCCCGUACACUAAAAUGCAUUAAUUGUGAGUUCGAUGAGUAGGGCGGGACACGUGACAUCCUGUCUGAAUAUGGGGGGACCAUCCUCCAAGGCUAAAUACUCCUGACUGACCGAUAGUGAACCAGUACCGUGAGGGAAAGGCGAAAAGAACCCCGGCGAGGGGAGUGAAAUAGAACCUGAAACCGUGUACGUACAAGCAGUGGGAGCCUACUAGUUGGGUGACUGCGUACCUUUUGUAUAAUGGGUCAGCGACUUAUAUUUUGUAGCAAGGUUAACCGUAUAGGGGAGCCGUAGGGAAACCGAGUCUUAACUGGGCGAAUAGUUGCAAGGUAUAGACCCGAAACCCGGUGAUCUAGCCAUGGGCAGGUUGAAGGUUGGGUAACACUAACUGGAGGACCGAACCGACUAAUGUUGAAAAAUUAGCGGAUGACUUGUGGCUGGGGGUGAAAGGCCAAUCAAACCGGGAGAUAGCUGGUUCUCCCCGAAAGCUAUUUAGGUAGCGCCUCGUGAACUCAUCUUCGGGGGUAGAGCACUGUUUCGGCUAGGGGGCCAUCCCGGCUUACCAAACCGAUGCAAACUCCGAAUACCGAAGAAUGUUAUCACGGGAGACACACGGCGGGUGCUAACGUCCGUCGUGAAGAGGGAAACAACCCAGACCGCCAGCUAAGGUCCCAAAGUCAUGGUUAAGUGGGAAACGAUGUGGGAAGGCAUAGACAGCCAGGAUGUUGGCUUAGAAGCAGCCAUCAUUUAAAGAAAGCGUAAUAGCUCACUGGUCGAGUCGGCCUGCGCGGAAGAUGUAACGGGGCUAAACCAUGCACCGAAGCUGCGGCAGCGACGCUUAGGCGUUGUUGGGUAGGGGAGCGUUCUGUAAGCCGUUGAAGGUGGCCUGUGAGGGUUGCUGGAGGUAUCAGAAGUGCGAAUGCUGACAUAAGUAACGAUAAAGCGGGUGAAAAACCCGCUCGCCGGAAGACCAAGGGUUCCUGUCCAACGUUAAUCGGGGCAGGGUGAGUCGACCCCUAAGGCGAGGCCGAAAGGCGUAGUCGAUGGGAAACAGGUUAAUAUUCCUGUACUCGGUGUUACUGCGAAGGGGGGACGGAGAAGGCUAGGCUAGCCGGGCGACGGUUGUCCCGGUUUAAGCGUGUAGGGGGAGUGACUUGGUAAAUCCGGUUACUUAUUCAACCCUGAGGCGUGAUGACGAUGCACUACGGUGCAGAAGUAGUUGAUGCCAAGCUUCCAGGAAAAGCCUCUAAGCAUCAGGUAACAUCAAAUCGUACCCCAAACCGACACAGGUGGUCAGGUAGAGAAUACCAAGGCGCUUGAGAGAACUCGGGUGAAGGAACUAGGCAAAAUGGUGCCGUAACUUCGGGAGAAGGCACGCUGGCGCGUAGGUGAAGAGACUUGCUCUCGGAGCUGAAGCCAGUCGCAGAUACCAGCUGGCUGCAACUGUUUAAUAAAAACACAGCACUGUGCAAACACGAAAGUGGACGUAUACGGUGUGACGCCUGCCCGGUGCUGGAAGGUUAAUUGAUGGGGUCAGCCGCAAGGCGAAGCUCUUGAUCGAAGCCCCAGUAAACGGCGGCCGUAACUAUAACGGUCCUAAGGUAGCGAAAUUCCUUGUCGGGUAAGUUCCGACCUGCACGAAUGGCGUAAUGAUGGCCAGGCUGUCUCCACCCGAGACUCAGUGAAAUUGAACUCGCUGUGAAGAUGCAGUGUACCCGCGGCAAGACGGAAAGACCCCGUGAACCUUUACUAUAGCUUGACACUGAACAUUGAGCCUUGAUGUGUAGGAUAGGUGGGAGGCUUUGAAGCGUGGACGCCAGUCUGCGUGGAGCCAACCUUGAAAUACCACCCUUUAAUGUUUGAUGUUCUAACUCGGCCCCGUGAUCCGGGGUGAGGACAGUGUCUGGUGGGUAGUUUGACUGGGGCGGUCUCCUCCCAAAGAGUAACGGAGGAGCACGAAGGUUAGCUAAUCACGGUCGGACAUCGUGAGGUUAGUGCAAAGGCAUAAGCUAGCUUGACUGCGAGAGUGACGGCUCGAGCAGGUACGAAAGUAGGUCUUAGUGAUCCGGUGGUUCUGAAUGGAAGGGCCAUCGCUCAACGGAUAAAAGGUACUCCGGGGAUAACAGGCUGAUACCGCCCAAGAGUUCAUAUCGACGGCGGUGUUUGGCACCUCGAUGUCGGCUCAUCACAUCCUGGGGCUGAAGUAGGUCCCAAGGGUAUGGCUGUUCGCCAUUUAAAGUGGUACGCGAGCUGGGUUUAGAACGUCGUGAGACAGUUCGGUCCCUAUCUGCCGUGGGCGUUGGAAGAUUGAGAGGGGUUGCUCCUAGUACGAGAGGACCGGAGUGAACGCACCACUGGUGUUCGGGUUGUCAUGCCAAUGGCAUUGCCCGGUAGCUAAGUGCGGAAAAGAUAAGCGCUGAAAGCAUCUAAGCGCGAAACUUGCCUCGAGAUGAGUCUUCCCUGGGG
rnacentral:rRNA from 1 species